rnacentral:sRNA from 1 species
CAAACAUGUUGGCAAAACUGAUUAUUUUCAUUGUGGAUCUCACGCUUGCUUUGGCCAUUUUUGUUAUCUUUUAUUUAAUGGCUGCCACUGUUAUUUUCAUCUCGGUCAUUUUCUAUAUUUUCAAAAGGGAGAUGGAAAAAAACUUUGACUUCAACAAGCGCCGAAUCUGGGCGCUGGAUUCUAGCAAUGCUACUGAGGAGCCUUUGGCAGGUGGCGCAGAGAAAGUCAGCUCCAAGCUGCUUCCUGUCCAUUGUCCAGCUGUAGGAGAAGGGUCUUUCCUGCCCGAGGACAGUGGUCCUCUCUUCUAAAGAGCAAGGAGCUCUCUGAGGUGGAGAAGGGUGUGAAGACUUCCCAGAACACUGCACCCACCUGACCAAGAGGUACUUUUUAAGGUGUUUUGUUUUACUGCAUUUUACCGACUAAGCGGCAUUAUCGCUGUGCUCUGAUCGCCCUUGAACAUGGUGCAGAUGUCAACAAUUCUACCUAU